GCUCGGGGUCGCACUUCACUCCUCUCCCUGCUCAAACCGGAUUAAGGAAGGACAGAGGAGAAGAGUUAGAGCCACCCAAGUCCUCGGUGACAAAACACAAAAAAAGUCCAUAGAAAGAGGUCUGAAGCCGGUCCCCGUCUUCUCAUCACUAUGGGAGCUUUCGACCAUUUGACUACACCUGAAGAAAUUCCAUUCACUAAAGACGUCCUGAAAUAUCAUCAGGAGCUCAAUGAAAAGCAAAACUCGUGUCAGUCUCUUGAGUUGAUGGAUGAAACAAAGGCAGUCGAGGAGGUGGCGGUCCAGAGGCGCAGGCCUCAGGUGUGAACAGAAGCACUGAGUCUCUCACUCUGUGUCUUUGCACCGCGGGAUAUUAUUCCUCCUAUUACCUUUCAGAGCUGCAAUCGCCACACGUCCUGUGGAGAAACAAAGCUGCGAGUCACAGUCAAAAGAUGGAAACAGCGGAGGGAAUGUCAAUUUCCUCCAAUCGGCUCAGAGGAAGGGUUUUUUUUUUCUCUUUCAGCGACUGAAGAUUAAGCUGAUGUCAAACCUGAGAUCCAACGAGUUAAAAAAUGUGCUGGAGAAAACCUGACAAUGGCUGAGGUGGGAGUGAAGAUCAGAAACGUGCUGAAUUCACUGCCAGACAGUUUUUUUUUUUUUUUUUUUUUUAAUUCAACCUAUUUUAAUUCGCCCUACAAUCCCACCAUGGGAAUACAUUUGUCAGUCGCAGCUGCCACUGAGAUUUCUCUUCGUAUCAAAUCAGCAGACAAGUCAGAGGAUGCCAAGAGUGUCCAUCAGAAUCCAUUAGUCGUCUGUUACUAAUUACCAGUGACUCCGGGGUUGAUUAAAAGAAAUCACCAAGCAGCAGCACACACCAUUAUGCUAAUGAGGGCUCAUUUAGAGAGGCAGGGCGGGGGCACGCUGGCAAGUAUGUGGACGACUUCUCAGUGCAGCAGGGCUGGCUGGAGUUAACGGCUUCUUGGACAGAAUAUUAUUAUAGGGCUGGAGGAGAAAGAAGCCUUGUGAUGCUGAUGAUGAUUGCAGAUUUUUUUUUAUCGUAUUUAUCUUGUCCAAAGACUACACUCAUGGAUUCAUUCCCACACUGACUUCUUUCCCCUCCUCUGCUUCUCAUUUGCAUGCGUAUUUUUCGUCUGCACUUGCCCCGUGGCACAAACUACCAAAUAACUCCCUGGCAACAGAAGAUAAGACAUGUUUGGUGUUUUUUCAGACAUAAUUGAUUUUCUCGUCUAAUUAGAAACCCUUCAGGGGGAAGAACAAGAAACCAAAAAGCUAAACGCACCGAGCGGCUGAUUGCUUUGGUGCCAGCAUUGCUUGCGAUAUACAGAGACGUCAGAGGGAGCCGCACCGCACAUGACAGCAUGUUACGGACACGUGUUCACUAAGAAACAUUGAUCAUUCAUUACACAAGCAAUGUAAAGGUCAAUACUCCAUCAAUGAGUUCUGUGAAACCAUUAAACCCACCACUGGCUCCCUGAGAGCUACAUGAGCAUAAAAUCUCAAGCCUAAUAUUCCACUAAUAACCAGAAUAACACCCCAAUCAGAAUAAGAUGUGUUAUGUAACCACUUCAACCAGAAGAAACUGAUCUGACCUGGACUGUUGUGAAUUAAUUCUCAAUCAGAUGGAGAGGGUUGGCGUAAACCUUUGAUGAUCUGUUCAUUAGGAAAAUAUGAGCUGCUAACAAUCAUUUAAAUGACUGGCUGGCUGGAAUAAAUAGCCUUUUUUCUUGUGUUCGUCUCAUGUGGGUGUUACGUUAGGUGACGUCGACAGAAACAUGAUCUGUGGCUGAUGCACUUUGUUGAAGAGGGUUGUUGAACACCUCCACGGUUGAAAGGCUCAAAACAACAAGAUGAUCAAACAAGUGUCUGAAAACUUCUGCUUUUCCUCGUCUUGUUACAUUUCAGAAGGUUAGAACCACUUUGCACAUUUAAAAAAUUUAAAGCUGCUGUAAGUAUUGUUGUUGUUUUGCAUGAAUGCAGAGCGGUAAACACCCGACAUGGCAUAUCGGCAAAUGGGAGGAUCCUGACCUCUAAGCAUUGACAAGCAGACAGGACUGCCUCUUUAUAGAGUUCUGUCUCCUGAUUAGAUAAAGUGGGCAGAGAUACUGGACACAUCAUUCUCUCUUACUGCAUGGGUUGAGUGUGGGGAGGAGAAACAUGGGUUAUUGGUGCCAGUAGCUCAAAAUAAAAUUCUUCUUCUUCUUCCUUUUCUUCUUCAUCUCACACUCACACGCAACAGUCAUUACUGUUACAGUAUAGCACGUUUUGAGCCAUGUAAAUGCACAUAUUGGACGAUUUUCAGUAGCGUAGCAUGCAGAGAUGUUGUCACUGCAGCCAAAGCUCCUGGUUCUUUACGUUCGUCUCGUGAGGCCAAGAUAUGACUUCUUUAAAGGCCCUUACUAUGAUGACAGAGUCCUAUAAAACAUACUUUCUCAUGAGAGAUUCUGUACUUUUGUGUUAUUGGAAUUUCUCACUGGUUUGAGAAACCAGUGUUGCACACUUGCUUAGUUUUUGAGCAUUAAACCCUAAAUAUAUGUGAUUACUGGGGAUGUAAUUUAUCAGCUUCAGCUUAGAUUUUUUUCUUUUAUUCAUGAAUAUUUUAUGUUACACAUACUUGUACUACCCUCUACACAUGUAUUAAGGCAUACAUGAAAAUUUUCUAAUAUGUGUAUGACAUAUGGUUGAAAAAACAGAAUUACCACAUUAAAGUU